rfam:Triticum urartu cultivar G1812 contig1018003, whole genome shotgun sequence.
AUACUACUCCCCUUGUUCGGAAUUAUUUGUCUCGGAUAUGGAUGUAUCUAGAACUAAAAUAUGUCUAGAUACAUCCAUUUUUACGACAAGUAAUUCCGAACGGAGAAAGUAGGUU